rnacentral:rRNA from 1 species
GAUGAACGCUGGCGGCGUGCCUAAUACAUGCAAGUCGAACGAAACUUCCUUAUCACCGAGUGCUUGCACUCACCGAUAAAGAGUUGAGUGGCGAACGGGUGAGUAACACGUGGGCAACCUGCCCAAAAGAGGGGGAUAACACUAGGAAACAGGUGCUAAUACCGCAUAACCAUAGUUACCGCAUGGUAACUAUGUAAAAGGUGGCUAUACUACCGCUUUUGGAUGGGCCCGCGGCGCAUUAGCUAGUUGGUAGGGUAAAGGCUUACCAAGGCAAUGAUGCGUAGCCGAAUUGAGAGGUUGAUCGGCCACAUUGGGACUGAGACACGGCCCAAACUCCUACGGGAGGCAGCAGUAGGGAAUCUUCCACAAUGGGCGAAAGCCUGAUGGAGCAACGCCGCGUGGGUGAAGAAGGUCUUCGGAUCGUAAAACCCUGUUGUUAGAGAAGAAAGUGCGUGAGAGUAACUGUUCACGUUUCGACGGUAUCUAACCAGAAAGCCACGGCUAACUACGUG